rnacentral:lncRNA from 1 species
GAAUGCCUGAAUCUGAAUCUUUAAUAAACGUCAGUAUUUUUUAUUUUUGAGUCAUUCCUGUGUUUGUCUUAACUGUUUUUCAGAUUGUGUUUUUGUGUGGUUAAAAUUCCAAACAAAGUGAAUGUGAUUACAUGUAGGGGUGGAGCUAAAGCAGCAUGAUAAAACAUGAAAGAUACCAAACAUAUGUAGAACCUGCAGGCGGCCAAACUAAUCACUUAAUUUUUCCUUUAACAGGCUCCCAGCUGCAUUUAGCAAAAGAGCAAAGCAACGACGGAGAGAAAAUUCGAGAGCUGUCGGAGGUGCUGCGGGAUAAAGAGCGUCGCAUUCAACAGCAACUGGAACGCUGCGCAGAGGAGCGAGGGAGGAAGAUGGAGGAGCAGAGGAGGAAGGAGCAGCAGCGCAAGGCGGCGGCUGUGGAGAAGAGACGAAAACAGCAAGAGGCGGAAAAGGAGAGGCUGGAGGCCAUGGUACGCCGAAGAGCCGGGGCCCUGAAAGACGAGGAGGGGGAGGUGGAGGUGGAGGAGGAGAAGCCCGGGAGCACCUGGAUAACAGGCCUAAACGGUGGACAUGGGGAGGACCGCCUGAUGGAGUGGAGGCGGUUGACUUCCUGUCUCCACCAACUGAUCAGCCAAUCAACAAACAGCUUUCCAACUCUUCAGCUGCUCUUCACUCACCGGACGGAGUGUCUUUUGUGUCCCAUCGAACAGCUUCAUCCAACAACCACAAACUAA